rnacentral:rRNA from 1 species
GUCAGCCUGCCAGUGAUAAAUUAAACGGCCGCGGUACCCUGACCGCGCGAAGGUAGCAUAAUCACUUGUUCUUUAAAUAGGGACUAGUAUCAACGGCAUCACGAGGGUUACACUGUCUCCUUUCUUCAAUCAGUGAAACUGAUCUCCCCGUGAAGAAGCGGGGAUAUAGCUAUAAGACGAGAAGACCCCAUGGAGCUUUAAAUUAAACUGCAACUCAGUUAAACAACCCCUAAUAUCUUAUAGAGUUAUGCAUGUCAAUUUUAGGUUGGGGUGACCGCGGAGUAAAAACCAACCUCCACGACGAAAAGAGCUAGAUCUUUAUCUAAGGGUUAUAACCCUAAGAAUUAGCACACUAACGAUAAUGACCCGAUAAUCGAUCAACGGACCAAGUUACCCUGGGGAUAACAGCGCAAUCUACUUUGAGAGCUCAUAUCGACAAGUAGGCUUACGACCUCGAUGUUGGAUCAGGGUAUCCUAGUGGUGCAGCCGCUACUAAUGGUUCGUUUGUUCAACGAUUAAAACCCUACGUGAUCUGAGUUCAA